rnacentral:lncRNA from 1 species
UCUGCGAAAAACCUGAGUCUGGGUUCGGGGAUCAGGUUACUUAUUGGGAAGGUACGGUAAAGACCGUAGCACCCCUCUAAGCCCCUAAAAAAAAUGGGUCUCUACUAAAUAAGGUGAACCAGACAUGGCAAUUAACUAGAAGAUCAACGGAUACCAAAACGAUCAUAGUUAAAAAAUAAGUCAUGAUGACGAAAUGAUAAACGAAGUGAGAGUGAGAGUGUACCUU